AAUUCCCUUUGUUUGCUGCAGCGUGUUGGUCCAUGUGCUUCUCCAGCUGAUUUUGCACCAGAUGCAUUAUUUGAAUUGGUCUUCAAGCAAUGUUUGAACCAGGUCCACAAAUGCUGACUUUGAAGUCUCCACCUCUCCAUCUGGGUCCUGUCAUAAAGCCCAGGCAAUGGUCCGAGGAGAGAACACUGCUGUAGCGCGUCUUCACAACAAUCACAAAGUGCCUUGUUUGCCCUCUCCCUGAUCCAUUAUUUGAUCCUGAUCUUCAGAUGUCGCUGAAGUCUGUUUAGAGGCGAGCGUGGAGAGGAUGGUGUCUGACAUGAAGAUUGGUCUUCAAGCAAUGUUUGAACCAGGUCCACAAAUGCUGACUUUGAAGUCUCCACCUCUCCAUCUGGGUCCUGUCAUAAAGCCCAGGUUUAUUUACAUGCAUUCAUUAUCAGUUUUACAUUUAAAUGUCUCUUCUACUUAUUAACAGCUUAUAAAUGUCUGCAUCUGAUGGUAAAAAUAACUAUUUCAGGGUAAGUAGCAAAACCUAAAGACUAUUGUCUGUCCUCUGGCAGAAAGAUCUGUUUGACAUCUAAAGCUACUGAGACAUUGUGUCUUCAUGUAAAAUAUCCUGUCAUCAGCAUUACCCACCUCUUCCUGCAUGAGGUUUGUUGUCGUCUGUUGGAAACUGUUAAGAUGAUCCUGGAUAGCUUUACAGUCAACCUCAUCCAUUGUCUUUAAUAACUCAAGGAUGAGCUGAAAAACACAAAAUCAAAACAUCAUGCUUAACUUUCAAAAUUAUACUUUGACAACUAGACAAUGGAUGUAUUUACUUAGGCCUUGAGAAGGCCACCCAUAGAAAUAAAAUGUAUGUCAUUUCUUGACUCCAUUUUGACUGCUUGAUAAUACAAGACAAAAGAACAGUGAAAGAUGCCCACAAAUAGUCUGAAUAAUACCUCCAUUCACUAACCCGAGCUCUCAGUCCCAGGAUCAGCUGAGUCUUCUGUUUGUAGUUCAGAAGCUCUGGGACCAUCUCUGUCACCAACGUGAUGAAUUCGGCCAGUUUGUCAUACUGGUCUACAUUCCGCUCCUGGGCCACCUGCCACAUACAGGCUGACAUCAACCUCAGAGGAGGAACCAGGAGGCGCACGGAUGACAGAGGGAGAUGAGGAUCUAACAGUAGAUGCAUGCAGAGAAACAGAUAAACAGCGGUUAUUAACCAGUCUCAAAUCCUGGACUAUAUGCACAAUAAUAUUAUGAGUUGUAUUACAUCUUCUGACACAUUGAACCACACCCUGCUCUAGAAUAGGGACAUCCAUUUCAGAAACUAUAGUAAAUAGGAUACAUGUUGUAGACAGGGUUGGGUAGUAACGGAAUACAUGUCAUCACAAUUACAUAAUCAGAUUAAAAAAUAUGUAAAUAUAAUUAGCUCAGACUACAUUUGAAAAAAAAAAUGUGCAAUUAGAUUUUAGUCAAAUAGUUAAUGUUUACUUAAUUACAUAUGGCAAUUUUAAAAUUAUGAAACUUUCCAUUAAUUCUGCCAGCAUGUUUUUGUAAGUCAAAUUUGAUUUGAAUUCUAAAUGCCAAAUAUGUUCUACUGUUUAUCAAUAUAAACUACUCCUCAGGUUGCCAGUUUAGUUAAUGGUGAUUAUUUAAAGGGGUGAUAGAAUGCAAAACCGAUUUUACCC